GCACAAAGCAUGUUCUUCACACAUGGGCUAGAUUAUCCUUUCGUGGACUGGCUGAUCCGUCGUGGGCUCAUGGAUCAAUUUUGCGAUUCACUGCGCGUUCGUCGUUCGUCGUGUGAAGGAAAUGAGCAGCCGCCGUUCGUGUUCCUACUUCCUGGUGGUGGCUAAUAACCGACAGUUAAUCUUCUGGCGCUGCGACCUCGCCACGAAUUCUCCCGCAGGCAAAUGCUGAUGAAAUCAUCUAAUAAAUCCGAGCAUUCAACGAGCGGAAACGGAUCGAUGGAACUCAUCCGCCGCGGCCUCCUUCAGGCGUCGCGCCUCUAGCCCUCCACACAUGGCUGCCCCCAUUUUAAUUCUCAAUCCCUCACCUUAUGUUUGUCAAUCUUUCAGGUUGUGCUCCGCCCGGCUCGGGAGUUGAUCAAUAAAAUCCCCCCGCCACCUGAUCUGAUUGGAUUUUGGUUGGAUUGUACAAGCUGCUCGAGAUCCACAAAAUUCGGUGAAAAGCGGCCGCCCCCAUCUGAAAGCGCCUUCAGGUUAAAAACCAAGUCGUGCUUCCAUUCCAUGGGCAUCAACCACGCCUAGGUCGCCACCUUUGGCAGCGAUUUCCAUGCUGGUUGUGCUCCACCUCGAAAUGCUCGACGAUUUGCCCCUCCACCCGAUUUGAUUGUAUUUUGCGUGCUACUAGCUCAAGCUGCCAAUUAUUUUGGAUUAUGCGCUGCUUGCUGAAGCUGGGAGAAAGCUGUUAUCAUCUCGUGUACGUUCUACUGACGCUGGACAGCAGUACCUGCUUGCAUAGGUCAUCUCUCAAAUCUCUCCCACGAGGGUGUUUAUGGUUUACUGUUUCACAAUAGUCUACCAUCUCCAGGUCAGGAGCUUAUAUCUGUAUACGGACGUCUUUCAUCAGAUUCUUAAAUUCUUACAAUUGAUCAAGUGGGCUUUGGUAUCAAAGAUCGCACGGUUCAUAAGCUAUUCUUCUUGGCAGUGUCUUUGAUGUAGCAGUUUUGGUAUCAGAGAUCACAUUUUUAUGCACGGUUCGUAAGUUCUUGCUUGCCCGGUUGUUUGCUUGGAAUGCAUCAUUAUUGACUGGUUUAGUUCUAGGUUUGGUUCUUGCAGAAUCAAAUAAAUGAUGACUGAAUCUGAUGUUCACAGAACAUAAGAUCCAGCAGGUGCACAAUCGACAUCAAUACCAAGCCCGCAUAUAACCUCACGACUUAGUUUGAGUUGUAUGUAUUUAUCUCAUUUUAUAUACCCUAAUUUCUUACAUUCUUCCUGCCUUUUGCAACAGCUGCAUCGAAUUGCUUCUCAUGAUUUGCAACCAGGGGCCUGCCCUAGCAACCACGAACGCUAUCAGAUGUCAGAGCAACAAGCCUAUUGAAUUUACAAAUGGUGAGCGGAAGCAUGUAUAUUAUUCUUGACUGCUUUCAGUUUUCAGAACCUACUAGCUACCCUGACCAGAUAUUGGGAACUAUCCAGACCAGAUAUUGGGAACAUAUUGGCAAUCAUUUAUAGAAAAAUUCUAAGCUUCUAUUUCAACAAAUGCCGGUCAUACACACAGCGAGAUUUUAUAUAUACCAGGUUUGCCAAGCGUUUAUAUUUCUCAUACCUUGGAUAAAAUUGUCAGUGCAAUCAUUGUGUGUUCCACUGUUUUGACUUGAUUAUGCAGAGAAAAGUGGAGUAAAGAGCAAAUUUGACAAUGUUGAAUUAGUCGACUAUAUACCUCCUGACACCACUGUGUAGAUGGAGCAUUAUUAUGGUCAGUUUUUAGGACCUGCCGAUGGUAGAGCAAGAAAAGAAUUUUCAGUUUCAACUGAAACAUAACUCUGGGGACAUCAAAUUCUGCAUCGACUUUUAGUUCUAUCCAUCUGGGUCGCCAGCUGAGUUAAUGACACCUCUCAUUGUUCUUUCCUACCUAUAGCGUGUCAGUUAAACAUCAUGUUCAUCUAACAAGGUGAAUGAGUUCUCAUGUCUUGCAUUGUCUACAUGUGAACUUGCUAAUGAAUGAGUGAAGGUGCUUCGCUUGGACAGAUCAAAUAUGUAUGCAGUUUUGGUCACAUUUGUUUACCAUGGCACCCAUCAUUAUAUCCUCCCGAUGAAUACAA